UGCUUAGUUUCACAGGCUUGAGAAAAUACACAGGGCAUAGGCUAGCCCAGUGGCUAUGUGCCCUAGGUGUGCUGACCAUAUAAAUAAAAGCCUAUCUUCGAAGAACUUUCAAGCCAAACACCUGAAACCUUGACUUGUUGUGAGAUGGUUUUUCAACAACAUGGAUUGGUUGACUGAUUGGGUUAGACCAGGUGGAUGGGCAAUCCUUUCCCAGUUUGCUUGUGAUAUGUCAGGCAGCUGGACUCCCACAGAGCACAGCGGUUCCAUGUGGAGCAUGGCCUAUAGUGGACACAGCAUGAGCCUGGAAGUCCGAAGGACCUGAGUUCUAAUCCUGC